rnacentral:tRNA from 1 species
GAAGGCCUAGCCCAGUGGAGUGUCUCUGGUGGUUGUACCAGGGGGUUGUGGGUUCGAUCCCCACAUCCUCCC